UACGAAGGGGGCUAGCGUUGCUCGGAAUCACUGGGCGUAAAGGGUGCGUAGGCGGGUCUUUUAAGUCAGGGGUGAAAUCCUGGAGCUCAACUCCAGAACUGCCUUUGAUACUGAGGAUCUUGAGUACGGGAGAGGUGAGUGGAACUGCGAGUGUAGAGGUGAAAUUCGUAGAUAUUCGCAAGAACACCAGUGGCGAAGGCGGCUCACUGGCCCGUUACUGACGCUGAGGCACGAAAGCGUGGGGAGCAAACAGGG
rnacentral:rRNA from 1 species